CGGGCCUACGGGGCGCAGCAGUGAGGAAUAUUGGUCAAUGGGCGGGAGCCUGAACCAGCCAAGUCGCGUGAAGGAAGAAGGUACUUAGUAUUGUAAACUUCUUUUGUCGGGGAACAAAGGCGGAGACGCGUCUCCGGAUGAGUGUACCCGAAGAAAAAGCAUCGGCUAACUCCGUGCUAGCAGCCGCGGUAAUACGGAGGAUGCGAGCGUUAUCCGGAUUUAUUGGGUUUAAAGGGUGCGCAGUCGGGGGAUUAA
rnacentral:rRNA from 1 species